UUCCUUUUGCCUGAAUGCCUGGACUUCUCUCUCCAGCAUCUACCCACCUCCCUCUUACUCCAGAGAAACAGCCUUCAUCUAGAGAUGUUUUAUUUCCAGAAGCACCUCAAGCAGUCCUUGUCUGGUACAUCGAGAAACCACCAAACCUACUCCAAAGCCCAUCAAAUGCAGGAGCUGAUGGACCAAUGCGAUCAUUCCAUGAAAUGGAAAACUCACACUCCAGGAGGGAAGACCUUCCUCGUGCCUCUACUGAGGGACUCUACAAAAAGUCCAACUUCAUCUCUGAUGUUACUGUCAUGUGAAUGCUUAGGAAUCGCUUUGGCAUUUACAACUGAGAUCUCCCUGACUGUGAAGUUUUCAUAACUGCUUCUUUUGAAUUCAUUUUGUAAAUGCUGAUCACUCAAAAAUGAUCAAAGAAUGCAAAGCUUUUAGAGACCAUUGUCAAGCCAUUAGAGCUGUUUCCCUUUUUCUGAUGGUUCAUUCUUCUCCAUCACACUUAUCAGUGAAGUCAAUUUCUUUUAUUGGUUUACUGCAUCAAUUUAUAUUAAGGUAAAGGGUCAAUGUUACCGAUAAUGGCAAAAAAGCACACAAAUUGUUGGAUGCGUUUUAUCUUGAGUUCCCUUCUUUCUUUAAUAAUAUUAAUUUGUGGGCAUUUUCCUCAUGUGUUCAUUGUAACAUAAGAAAGAAUCAUUUCUUACACAUUUUACUGAGGUACAGCAUACAUCCAGAAAAAUGCACUAAUCAGAACAACACGAAGCCUUUUCACAAAGUGAAAUCACCAAUGUGCCCAGAGCUCAAAUCAAGACACCAAACAUUAUCAGAGCCUUAGAAGUGCACUUUGAGCACCUGCCAGUCAGUACCCCCUUUCCACACCCAAAGGUAAACCACUGCCCAGACUUUUAAGGGCACAGAGUAGUUGUACCUGUUUUUAAACUUCACAUAAGUGGAGUCAUACCAUACACGCACUUUUGUAUCUGCCUUCUAUCAUUCAGGAUUAUACGUGUGUGUGUGUGUGUGUGUGUGUGUGUGUGUGUGUGUGGCUGGCUGACUAGUAUGGAGAUCUGAACCCUUGACCUUGGGGUAUCAUGUUUAAUCAUUUGCAUUAUGAAGUUGUGGUUCAAUCAUUCGCAUGCCACAUAGUAUUCCAUUGUUUAAAGAUACCACAUCUGACUUAUUCCUUCUGCUGUUGAGGGACAUUAAGAUUGUUGUCCAUUUUGUUCUGUUACAAACAGUGCUCUGAGAACACUUAUCCGAUAUGUUUUUUGGUGAAUAUAUGUAUAUAUUUCUGUUGGAAUUGUAUCUAGUAAGGAUCAUUUUAAUUUAGAACUUCUUCCUAUAAAAACAAUUCUGAGUAUUCUUGAAGAAGCUGUUAUUUUAUAUUCUCAGUUCCAGAUCCAAACUUCCAGGAGAUUGUUUUUUAUCACCUUUCUUUAUCUGAAAAAUAAACAGAUUUCUAUGGGA